rnacentral:lncRNA from 1 species
GUCAUAGUCACAGCUACUGAUUCACCUGCCUUCCUGUCUGGUUUUUGCGGGCCCUGGGAGGAAGUGUUUAUUGGCUCCUGAGUCACCAGCCCCUGCCACCUGCUGGCCUCUCCCCACAAGUGUCCCCCUUUCCAUGUUGCUUCCCCUUUGACCCUAGGAUUUCUGCUCUCUGUCUGUUCUCUGGGUGGCGCAGCCAAUCAGCUUGUGAGAUCAGAGACGUUGAGCUCUGGGAGCCACUGCUUGCCCUGUACCUCUCUGUGCCGUCCUGCCUCUGCCUGAGCAGGCCUGGCUGCUUCGAGGGGAUCCCAGGCCUCUUGCUCCAUGCUGGCUGCCAGGGUGGAGAGCAGCUCAACCUUCCUCCCAUGUGACAUUGGCCAUCAGAAGCCGGCUGCCAAUGGGUACAAGAUGGGACCAUGGCACCAGUGUGCCUCUGAGACAUGGGAUAGACACUCACUUCCUGGUAACCUGGGCAGGGUCAGCUCCUCCUCAGGUCCUCUGUGGCCCCAAG